rnacentral:piRNA from 1 species
UGAUGCGCAAAGAUCUACAGAAACCUUCCCC